GUUAUAUAUAGGUAACUCCCCAACUGAUCGACCAUGUGGAUCUAAUCUGUUUAGGCCAGUUUCUGUCUGAUAUGUUAGC
rnacentral:snoRNA from 1 species